AAAACUUUCAACAACGGAUCUCUUGGUUCUGGCAUCGAUGAAGAACGCAGCGAAAUGCGAUAAGUAAUGUGAAUUGCAGAAUUCAGUGAAUCAUCGAAUCUUUGAACGCACAUUGCGCCCCUUGGUAUUCCGAGGGGCAUGCCUGUUCGAGCGUCAUUACAACCCUCAAGCUCUGCUUGGUAUUGGG
rnacentral:rRNA from 1 species